CCUACGGGAGGCUGCAGUGAGGAAUAUUGGUCAAUGGGCGAGAGUCUGAACCAGCCAAGUAGCGUGAAGGAUGACUGUCCUACGGAUUGUAAACUUCUUUUAUAAAGGAAUAAAACGAGCCACGAGUGCCUUGUUGAGUGUACUUGAUGAAAAAGCAUCGGCUAACUCCGUGCCAGCAGCCGCGGUAAUACGGAGGAUCCGAGCGUUAUCCGGAUUUAUUGGGUUUAAAGGGUGCGUAGAUGGGUUCUUAAAGUAGUUGGUAAAGUUGCGGGCUCAACCGUAAAAUUGCCGUUGAUACUGGUAGUCUUGAGUAGACUUGAGGUAGGCGGAAUUCGUGGUGUAGCGGUGAAAUGCUUAGAUAUCACGAAGAACUCCGAUUGCGAAGGCAGCUUACUAAACUGUAACUGACGUUGAUGCUCGAAAGUGUGGGUAUCAAACAGAAUUAGAUACCCUAGUAGUC
rnacentral:rRNA from 1 species